UAAUCAUGUCUUCCUCGCCAGUCUCCAGGGCAUCCGCAACCGCCCGGGGCUCCAUGGUCUCCGGAACCUGCCCGGCAAAACCCGGGCCCGGAAGACGCCAGCCGCGGAGCCCGCCGGCCCCACCCUGGCCAGGGAGCUCUGCGUCGGCGCGCGACGGACGCCGGGACCCGCUGCGUGGGGCGGGGCCUCAGGCUGCGCGGCUUAAGGUGGCUGGGCCGAGCAGGUGUGGCCCGAGGCACGGCGACCGCAAGGCUUGGCCUCCAAAGCAGCCCGACUUGGCGACCUGCCGACCUCGGUCCGCGUGGUCCGGGGAUCGAACAGCGACCCCUCCUCUGUGCCCCGGCGUCUUGGGUGCGAGUGUCCGACAGGAGAGGCGCUCAGACCGAACGCAACAGGCUGACCUGCGAGGCCGCGGCGGGGACUUGGCCGUCCGGAGCCGCUUGCUCGCUCAGACUGCAGUCUCUCGAGCGCCUCCCGCGUACGAGACGCGGGGGAUGCGGGUGGACGAGACUUGGCGGUCUCUGCCUUCGUGGAGCUCGCGUUCCAGAGGGGAAGAGAGGGGAAAACAAACAAGGCGGCUUGAGGCGCUCAUAGUACCAAGGUUAUUUUUUAAAAGGUGUCCGGUGGCCUGCAGCGGGCCUGAGGAAGUCCCAUUUUUGAGGAGACAGGACAGUAGGAAGUAGGCAAGGAAAGAUCUGGAGGAAGGCACGGCCAAGCAGAAGGAGCAGCAGGUGCAACGGUGGGGUGGACUGGGCAGGAGAGAAGGUGGGGAGCGGGAAAGGAGAGCAAGGUGAAAGCCAAGCCUGACCGUGGCCUGGCCUGGACUUAGUUCCCUUCUGAAAGCAGAUAUUUUUAAAGAAAGGUGCCACGUCGAUGGGCUGUCCUGAGGAUUAAAGGACACACAGGCAGUGCUCCAUUUGGUGGGCACAGCGCGCUCACUCUUAACGAGCGGUCAGCGAGCACCUGCUCUGUGCCAGGCUCUCGCGAGUGCCGGUCCAAGGCUCCUACGGCCCCACAUCCAUCCUUACUUCAUUUCUUUCGGUAGUUCUUCACACCUGCGUAUUAUGCAGUGUCUUCGGCACCCAUCUCCACUUUACAGAGACGGUUACCUUGCUCUGGUAGUGCCAGGCUCGCACCCAAUUCCACUCUAACCUCCCCAACCUGCUAGAACGCCCAACCCGGAUCGCUCCUGGGUCCAGCUCCUACCUGUGAGCUUCUGGCCGGAAGAACGCCGCUGACAGAUCACAUCCGGGCAAUAAGAGCACCAACCAACAGAAGGUCGUGAGAGCGGACGGCCCUCCCCUUUCGUCAUUUCCGUUCCCACGCGAUACUGCCCAUAGGCCGGAAGUCGGAAGAGCUUGAGGUAAAAGGGGCGUGGCCUCUGAGAGGCGGAGCCGGGUGCCUCUUGAGGUGUAGGAGCCACGUCUUCGGCGCGGUUGGCCGAGCUGGGCACAAGCUGUGAGGCUGGAGCGGGGCGCGAUGGCGGACUGGACUCGAGCUCAGAACCCUGGUGCUGUGGAGGAGAUUCUAGACCGGGAGAACAAGCGGAUGGCCGACAGCCUGGCCUCCAAGGUUACCAGACUCAAAUCGCUGGCCCUAGACAUCGAUAGGGAUGCAGAAGAUCAGAACCGGUACCUGGACGGCAUGGACUCGGAUUUCACAAGCAUGACUGGCCUGCUCACUGGAAGCAUGAAGCGCUUUUCCACGAUGGCACGGUCUGGGCGAGACAACCGGAAACUUCUGUGUGAAAUUGAGGCCAAGAAUGACAAGCAGCUGAAGACAGACUUAACCCGCAGAGAAACUCAGAUCCACAAGGUGGAGGACAGGAAGAGCAACCAGGUCCUUCCUGCAAACUUUUGUGAAUUCAAGAGAAAAAUGAGAACCUGGCCUCCAGCCCUCCUCCUUUGCCUCUCUCACCUCAAUCUGGUCACCUGCAGCUUCCCCCAGAUCUAUCAGCCAGCUGCUGGAGCACGAGGAGGCACACAUCACACCUGCAGAAAGCAGGAAGCCUCCUUCAGCUCACUGAAUUGGAGGGCAGUGCUGCUGUGAGCAUGGAUCAACUUACAUCAAACAGUGACCACUUCAGGCCUGUGGAUCCAGUGAGGUUCCUGUGUCCAAGACUGUCAGAAUGGAUGAUCUCCACCCAGUCCUGAGUCCUGAGUCUGUGGCAACGAACAGUGUCCUCUUGAUUCUGUAGCCAGGACUCAAUCACAGUGAACGUUGUACACCCAGCCCUAUGUGUACAGAAUUCUCAGUCAUAGUGGACUGUGUGUACCUGGUCCCAUGCUCAGAAUUCUUAGUCACAGUGCACUGUACGCACCCAGCCCUGUCCAGGACUCUCAGUCACAGUCUCUUUGUGUUCAGAAAUCUCAGUCAUGUUGGACAUGUGUACCCAGCCCUGUGUGUCCAGGUUUCUCAGUCAGAGUGGACUUUGUACACCCAGCCCUGUGUAUCCAGGACUCUCACUCAUAGUGGACUGUGUGUUCCUGAUCAGGUGUUCAGGAUCCUCACUCAUAGUGGACAGUGUGCACUCUGCCCUGUAUGUCCAGGAUUCUCAGUCACAGUGAACAGUGUGUGCCUAGUCUUAUGUGUUCAGGACUAUAAGUCACAGGAUAGUGUGCAUCCAGACCUGUGAGUCCAGGACUCUCAGUCAGACAGUGUGCACCCUACCCUGUGUCCAGGAAUCUUAGACACAAUGGAUUGUGUGCACUCUGUCGUUUGUGUCCAGGCUUUUCAGUCACAGUGGACAGUAUGUACCCAGUCCUGUGCAUCCUGGACUCUUAGUCACAGUGGAAGUCUCCAUCUAGCCCUGUGUUAAGGAUUCUUCUGCAGUGGACAACAUUGUCCCAGUCCUGUGUCCAGGACUCUCAGUCACAGUAGACAGUGUGUACUCAGCUAAAUAUGUCUAGGAUUCUCAAAGUGGACAGACUCUACCUGGUUUUGUGUCCAGGACUCUUUCUGCGGUAGUCAGUGUGCAUCCAUUCCUAUGUGGUGAGGACUCUCAGUUGCAGUAGGUACACCCAGCCCUGUGUGUCCAGGAUUCUCUCACACUGGACAGUGUGCUCCUGGUCCUGUGUUAAGGAAUCUUACUCACAUUGGACUGUGUGCACCCAGACCUGUAUCCAAGACUGAACUGCAAUAGACAACAUUCUCCCAGUUUUGUGUCCAGGGUUCUCAGUGGACAGUGUGCACUUGGUCCUAAGUCCAGGAUUCUCACAGUGGACAGUUUGUAUCUGGUCCUGUGUUUCCAGUACUCUCAGUCACAGUGUCAGUGUCCUUCUGGCCCUGCAGUUCCAGAUGUAUUCUCCUGGCACUGUUUCUCCCUCAUCAUACCCACAGGAUGUCCCCAUGGGGGUGGACAGCAAAGCCCUUCUCCUAUGGGAGAACUGUUGAGUGGCCUAAUAUGGGGACAGAUGUGGCUGCCUAGAAUCCAGGGCUGGAAGUGAGGGCAUUGUGCACAUUCUCCUUCAUGGCAGCUCAGCUGCCUGGAAUCAGGGAGGUGGCAGGGCAGCAGACAGACACAGGCAGGGCAGCGGGGAAGCCAGGAGAGAAGAGAGUCACACUGGGUUAGGGUUGAGUUUGGAUGGAGACUUGGUUUAGGAUAAAGUUAGUGUUUAGAGCUUACCCAGCAAGAAUGAGGCCUCCACUUUCCCUCUUUGACAAAAUGACUGCAUCCAGCAUGAAUCCACACCUCCUAUUCGGCACCAGAGCCCUGCUGCUUCCAGUGUAGACAUGAGGGAGCAAAGUGAGUCCUGGGUCAACUGAGUAUAAAUAGAAAACCAUGUUCUCAGUCAGCAGAAGGUAGAGUAGGAAGCUGUGUCCUGAGUCAGCUGAGUGUAGAUAUAAAACAUAGUCCAGUGAGUAUAGAUAGUAGGGAAACAAAUCCUGCCAGGUUGAUGUAGAGAGGAGGAAAAUGUGUUCUGAGUCAGCUGAGUGUGUACUUGAAUUGGACACUGCCUGACCCUAGCCCCAACCCUUACCUAACCCUAAACUUGACCACUAUGAUUGUCCUAAGUCAGAUGAGUAUAGACAAGAGGAACCCAUGUCCUGGGUCAGCUCAGUGUAGACAGUAGGAAACUGUCCUGAUUGUGGUGAGUGCAGAUGGUAGAAACUGUUUAGAGUCAACCAAGUGUAGAUAGGAAGGAACCAUGUUUUGAGUCUACUGAGUGCAGGAAGGAAGAAACUGCAUGCUUAGCUGAGUAUAGAUAGAAGGAAAAAGGUCUGUCAUGCAGUAUGUGAGUGUAGACAGUAGGACAGUAUAUCCUGAGUCUGCUGAGUCUAGUCAGGAGGAGGGCUCUAUGUCCAGAAUGUUCUGAGUUAGACAGGAGGGAAUCAUGUUUUGAGUCUGCUGAGUGUAGAAAGGAGGAAACUGCAUGCUUAGCUGAGUAUAGAUAGGAGGAGAAAGGCCUGUCUUGCAGUAUGUGAGUGUAGACAGUAGGACAGUAUAUCCUGAGUCUGCUGAGUCUAGUCAGGAGGAGGGCUCUGUGCCCAGAAUGCUCUGAGUGUAGACAGGAGGGCACUGUGUCCUGAGUCUACUGAGUGUAGACAGGAGCAGGCCAUGAGCUGAUUCAACUUAGUGUAGUUAGAAGGAAACUGUCCUCAGUCUUCUGGGUGAAGACAGGCAUGGGACACAGUCCUGGGUACACACAGCAUUCUGGCCCUGCCAGAACUCUUUAGGCUCUGUGCCCCUGAGCUCCAUCAGACCUCCUGUGAGGGGUGUUGGGCUGGGUACUUCUGCAGGGAGGCUUCCUGUGGAAUCACAGAGGCUCUCAGAUCUGUCCUCUUCCUGCUCUACAUAGUGACCACAGCGGUGAACAGCACUUCCCUGUGAUGGUUUCUAUACUUCAUCUGAACUGGAAUGACCCUAAUGAGGCACUCUUAAGAACUACUCAACAUCAUUAAGUACAGAACUCUGGGUCUCCUCAUGCAUAAAGGAGCUGCAAAUACCUUUGCCGCUUUCACACAGGCAGUUGGAGAGUCUCUCUAUGGGAAAGCACUUUGAAAUUUGCUGAAGUGUUUAAAUGACUAGCAGAAAACUCAGGAAAAACUAUUUAAAAAGUCCCAGAGCAAACAUCAUUUCUCUGAUGAUCCUCACAGAUACUUGAGUAAAGAAGCAAGUCAGUCAAGUCUUGUAGAUCUCUCUGCUAGCUCUUCUCCACACUUACCUCUUGGGGAGGAGACCAGAGUCUUGACCCCUUGACCUGCAUACAGGUGACCAGUGACUGGUGCAGCCUGGGUUUUGGAGGGUCUCUUCAGUAAUGUCCCAGAGUCUCCACUUGCUCCUCUCCCUGCCCAGGUGGAAAUUCCUCGUGUGCCACCAAGCCUCUGGAGUCCUGAGGGCUCUGAUCACACCUGGGCUCCUCAGGGAUUCUGCCAGCAUGGGGUUAGGCACUGUCCAACAGAGACCUUGGCAGUCAGUGCACCUGGUCUCUCUGCGUGUCAGCCCCUGAGGACCCUGGACUGCGCCACUCUGCUCCAGGGCCCCUCCCCUGGCCCAUGCCCUCCAGUUCCUCCCUGGUCUUUCCCCAUGGCCCCCAGCUCCCCACCCACUCCAGGCUCUUCCUGUCACCCCUCCUCUGUCCCAGGCUCUCCUGGCCACCCCCUGCUCCACUCCAUCCCCUGUCCUGCCCUGUUCCUGGCCCUCCCUAGUCCUAGUACCCCAGGCUCUCCAGUCCCUGCUUCCAUAGCCUGCCUGUUGCCCCAGCCCCACCUCCCACCUGUGGUCCUCCAAUCAGCUGGGGCCUCUGGUUGCUCCGUGCCUUCUACCCUUUCUUUGGCCCCUGGUUCUUUCCAUCAACCUUCCUGCCCAACAUCAGCUCUUUCUGCCCCUUUUGCCUAUCUUCAACCCUCUCCUUAGACACUGAUGAGGCUACUCAGCUCUCUAUGCACCAGCAUUCAGGCUCAGCUGCCCUGGGCUCCUCCUGUCUAUUCUCAGCCCUCUUCCUACAUACUCAGGCCUUCCAAGACCUCCUAGGUCCUUUCUGUCCUGUUUUUGAACCCUAUUCUUGAUUUUUGUUCUUUCUGUAUACAUUUCAAACCUGGUAUACAUUUCAAACCCUAGGAUCCACUACUUCUCACUGCUCAUUACAUUCCGGGCCUUGGCUGAAUCCUACCUUCUGGAGGAGUCUCCACUGACCAUGCAGCUGUCAUUUCUGUGGCUGUGCAUCUCUGAGGAGUGCAGUCUGCUUGACAGCUUCACUCAGACCCAGCAAGCUCUGGAGCUAUCUGAACAGGUCCCUGUGAACUGAAAUGUAGCAAGGGCCCACCCUCGAUGACCCAUCAUGAUAUCCAAUCAGGUUCCUCACCCUCCAUCCUCUCCAGGUAAUGUCUAAUUACCCCAAUAUCUGACCAAACCCCUCACCCUCCCCAAGGCACACAGAGCUUCCAGGGCUGCAGAUCCUCUGCUCUGAGGGCUGAAUAAGCAGAAUAUUAGACUAUACUACCCAGAAUCUUUGGGGACCUGAGUGUUCUAGGGGCCUGAAUCUUCCAGAAGCCAUCAUGAUGAGGGCUACCUGGGUGGAACAAGGGAGUACAGUGUCCAGAAUCCCUGGGGAUGCCCAGGUGAAUAUGCUUCCUGUGGUUCCUAGGGGCCUCUGUGGUGAGGUUUACAUUGGCAGAACACUGAAAUGUACUACCCAGGAGCCUUUUGGGCAGAAUGACAGAAUACAAUCCCCAGAAUCCCUGUGGAGGCAGGGUCCAGGUGAGUAUGAGGGCUGCAUUGGUAGAAUACCAGAUGACACUACCCAGAGGCCAGUAACUUCCAGAGGCCAUCACAGUGAGGACUGCAUGGUCAUAACACUGGACUACCACUACUACUGUCCAGAAUCUAUGGGCAAGCCUGGGUGAAUGUGCCCCUGUGGCUCCUAGAGACCUCUGUGGUCAGGGGUACAUGGGCAGAGCACUGAAACAUACUACCCAGCAUCCUUAGGAGUGCACGGCUCCUAGGAGCUUUUGGGGAAGGGUGGGAGGAGGUAUUGGUGGGCAGAACAGACUAUAUUCCCCAGAUCCCCUGGGUCGGGGCAGGGCCCAGGUGAAUAUGAGGGCUGCAUUGGUAGAGCACCAGACUGCACUACCCAGAAUCCCCAGGGAUACACAGCUCCCUGGAGCCUCUGCAGUGAGGUGGGUGAUGACAGGAGAACUGCAUACCUAGAAACUUAAGGGGCCCACAGCUCACAGGAGUUUUUGCAGAGAGGUAGGAGGAGGUCACAGGCAGGAACAUGGAGUACAGGGAAGGCAGAUGUUCAGCCUGCAGCUCCCAGAAGCCUGAGUGCAGAUCCUCCUCACCUUGAUACUGUUGACUGGUCAUGAUCCUAAAAUGGAGAAAAUCCUUGGCAAAGUAACUGUCUCAAAGACUACGCUUCCCAGAGGCUUCUGUUUCCAGCCUGUGGUCCAACACUUGGGUGCACAGAACAUGAGUCCGUUGCAUCCUGUGGGCAGGUGCUUACUUAUGUGCACCUGCUGAACGUUAUUCCUCUACCUACCUCCUCCAUGGCUUCAGCUGUCCUUGGAGGCACUGGGUGCGGAGGAUGGAGCUUAGGGAUAUGGUCUCCUUGAAUGUACCCUUGCAGUGAUGUAACAGACAAAUACAAGACAUCAGGUACAGCAGUGGGAACAGAUUUUAUUAGGUAACUAGUCACGAUAGAGGAAAUACCUGAGCUCCAUUAUGAUCUGUGCAGAGCUAAUUUGGGUAUUAUAAAGGGGAAAGGAGAGUUAGGGAAGAGUAUGAUCUUGGAAGUCGGUGAAGUAAAAAAUAGAGUUGGCCACUGUAAAUGCAAUUAGGCCAGCUGUGUUUGUGGCAGUUGUCUAAGAAUUCUGUCUUCCCACAGAGACUGGGAGAGAGACCCUCUCCUGCUUGAUGAUUAUAUUUCAAGAGAAUGGCUCUCAGGCUCUGAGAGAGGCAUGUUUCCAAUUGAAAGCCCUUUCUAUUAAAUAAUUGGUCAAAGGGAGGUCAGGGGCUGUCAUCAGGUGUUGGUUAGGAGUCCAUAAGUCUUCCUGGCAGCCUUGAGCUUUCCUCAGGCAGUUGUUUUAAUGGAGGUGGUGGAGGUGAGGGUGUUGCACAUAGGCACAGACUAUGCUGAGUCCCUGAGCUCCGGGGAUUUUCUUCCAGCAGGGUGUGUGGACUUGGGGGAACAACCAUCUGCCCACGUGCCUCAGGAAGACUGGGCACGAACAUUCACCACCAGGAAGGUCCCCCAGACUCAAGGGGACAGUGGCAGUGACUGCUGAGUCUUGGACUGCUAUGGGGAAUGCCAGUUCUCAACCCUCCCAGGAAACAUGCAGAGUCCUGGACCAUCCUGUCUUGGCCUGUGGCCUUUUCUGUAGCCAGGGGACCUGGAGUUCUAGCAAGGAGAUGCCUAUAAGGGAGGCACAGUUGGAGACAUGGGCUAUGGGAGGGCAUUUUGCUUCCUCCUGUUCUGAACAGGCAGUGUGCUAAUGCUGAAAGUCAGAAUCCUGACUCAGCCAGCUGCAUCAUGCCCAUUUUGGGGAAAUGGACUGAAGACACUGGAGCUGACCCUUGACUGGGGCUAGGCCUCCUAAGAAGAAGUGCCUAUGCAAUUAUCAGAGGCCCUACAUGAAAACAGGAGUUCCCUCCUCAGCUCCUGAACUCAACCCCUGUGGGAGAGAGAUCCACCCUCAGCAUCCUGACAACCAGCCCCUCCCUUCCUCUCUCCCCUCCAGGUUCUCUCUGGCAAGUGUUGCCCUGUGGGGCUCCUGCAGUUGCCUCCCAUCUGGCUGUCCUUGCCCAGGAGUUUCCUAUGGGCAAAGAUGCUUGCCUGGGUCUUUCUCCCUGUGUUCUCCUGAGUUUAUCACCUGUUUCUAUAGGCUUUUUGAUACAGGACCCAAUUUGCCCCACAGUGGGGCACAGAGUAAGUGUAAGCCAGGUGGUCUGAGUGUGGACUAGAGCAGAGGCCUAGGGGAGAUCAGAGACCCCCAGGACCUCCAUGGCAAAAAUGUUCUGCAAUUCUCUUAUUCACUCACCUACUGAAGUAAUGUCUGGUUUAUUAAGUACUUGGCCAUUGUGAGCAGAACUGCUGUGUGUAAUUGCAUGCUGAAUGUAGACACAUUUUCAGAUCUGUUUUUGAGGCAGUCGUGUCAAUUGUUAGGAUCAAGAAUGUUGAGUCCUAUGGUGAGACCACAUUUAACUCUGGAAAACUGCCAAGCUCUUUAUUAAAGUGGUGAAUUACUGUGCCCUCCAGCAGCAAUACAUGUGAACUCCUAUUUUACACAAAAUUGAUAUUGCAUCAUGAAGGUCUUAUCCAUUGAUAGGUGCUUGGUGCCAUGGGAUUUCUGGAUUCCAGGUCUUUAGGAACAUGAAAUGUCCUAAAGUGUCUUAGUCACCUCAUCCUCAGGACAAGUGGUGCUCACAUCAUUUCCUGUGCUGCUUUGCCAUCUGCAUUUAUCCUCUGCAGAAUGUUUUCUCCAGUGCUUCAGCUGUCUGACUGGUUCUGGGAUCCAGAUGUUGAGUCUAAGGCUUGUGCUCUUGCAGUCAGUGUCAUCUCUUCUGGGCUUAGAGAAGUGAGUGUUGUGCUGAAUGUGCAGAUCAAGCUUGAGAGAAUGCCAUCUUAACAUUGAGUCUAACAUCCUGAUCAAGGAGUAUCUGUGCACAUAUUUGUAUUUAAUUUUCUUUUUUUCUACUUUGUUUCAAGUUUUUCUGAAAGUACAAUUGUACUUUAAGACAUAUUUAAGGACAUUGGU